GAUGAACGCUAGCUACAGGCUUAACACAUGCAAGUCUACUUGAUCCUUCGGGUGAUGGUGGCGGACGGGUGAGUAACGCGUAAAAGAACUUGCCCUGCAGUCUGGGACAACAUUUGGAAACGAAUGCUAAUACCGGAUAUUAUGUGAGUUUUCGCAUGAAAUUCAUAUGAAAGCUAUAUGCACUGCAGGAGAGCUUUGCGUCCUAUUAGCUAGUUGGUGAGGUAAUGGCUCACCAAGGCGAUGAUAGGUAGCCGGCCUGAGAGGGUGAACGGCCACAAGGGGACUGAGACACGGCCCUUACUCCUACGGGAGGCAGCAGUGGGGAAUAUUGGACAAUGGACCAAAAGUCUGAUCCAGCAAUUCUGUGUGCACGAUGAAGUUUUUCGGAAUGUAAAAGUGCUUUCAGUUGGGACGAAGUAAGUGACGGUACCAGCAGAGAAGCGACGGCUAAAUACGUGCCAGCCCGCCGCCGU
rnacentral:rRNA from 1 species